rnacentral:rRNA from 1 species
AGAGUUUGAUUAUGGCUCAGGAUGAACGCUGGCGGCGUGCCUAACACAUGCAAGUCGAACGGACGUCUUUGGACGUUAGUGGCGGACGGGUGAGUAGCGCGUGAGAAUCUGCCCGUGGGCUGGGGACAACAGUUGGAAACGGCUGCUAAUACCCAAUAAGCCGCAAGGUAAAAGAUUAAUUACCCACAGAGGAGCUCGCGUCUGAUUAGCUAGUUGGUGUGGUAAGAGCGCACCAAGGCGACGAUCAGUAGCUGGUCUGAGAGGAUGGGCAGCCACACUGGGACUGAGACACGGCCCAGACUCCUACGGGAGGCAGCAGUGGGGAAUUUUCCGCAAUGGGCGAAAGCCUGACGGAGCAACGCCGCGUGAGGGAGGAAGGCCUUUGGGUUGUAAACCUCUUUUGCUGGGGAAGAAGACAAUGACGGUACCCAGCGAAUCAGCCUCGGCUAACUCCGUGCCAGCAGCCGCGGUAAUACGGAGGAGGCAAGCGUUAUCCGGAAUUAUUGGGCGUAAAGCGUCCGCAGGUGGCUGCUCAAGUCUGCUGUUAAAGCCUGGUGCUCAACACCAUCCCGGCAGUGGAAACUGAGAAGCUAGAGUCCGGUAGGGGGUAGCGGGAAUUCCCAGUGUAGCGGUGAAAUGCGUAGAGAUUGGGAAGAACAUCGGUGGCGAAGGCGCGCUACUGGGCCGGCACUGAUACUCAAGGACGAAAGCUAGGGGAGCGAAAGGGAUUAGAUACCCCUGUAGUCCUAGCUGUAAACGAUGGAGACUGGGCGUGGCUUGUAUCGACCCGAGCCGUGCCGAAGCUAACGCGUUAAGUCUCCCGCCUGGGGAGUACGCACGCAAGUGUGAAACUCAAAUGAAUUGACGGGG